rnacentral:rRNA from 1 species
GGACGAAAACUUUACAAUGCGGGAAACCGUGAUAAGGGAACCCCGAGUGCCCGUAGAAUCGGGCUGUUGGUCUGUGUAAAAAGCAGGUAAAGAAAGGGCCGGGCAAGACCGGUGCCAGCCGCCGCGGUAAUACCGGCGGCUCGAGUGGUGGCCACUAUUACUGGGCUUAAAGCGUUCGUAGCUGGGUUGUUAAGUCUCUUGGGAAAUCCACCGGCUCAACCGAUGGGCGACCAGGGGAAACUGGCAUUCUAGGGACCGGGAGAGGUGAGAGGUACUCCAGGGGUAGGAGUGAAAUCCUGUAAUCCUUGGGGGACCACCGAUGGCGAAGGCAUCUCACCAGAACGGCUCCGACAGUGAGGAACGAAAGCUGGGGGAGCAAACCGGAUUAGAAACCCCGGU